UGACAAUAUGAUGUUAUAUAAGUUUUGUUCAUUGAAACAAAAAACGAAAAGAUGUUGAACAAAUCAAUUGGAUACAUUUCACAAUGCGCUAUCGCUCUUCUUAUGUUAAGUUGCGUAGCCACAGAUGUCUGUACAGUUACAAAAGCAUACGCAUGUCAAAGAAGCACUACAACUUACACAAGCUGUGGGUUUCUUUGGUGGCGGAGAUGCACCCGCUACUAAUCAGUUUGGGACACUUGUUAUCAGCUGAUCAAACAGUGUUGUCCGAACUACGAAGGAUCCAGCUGUGAUACUCCUCUUUGCAGCGGUGAGAAUAGCUGUCAGAAUGGCGGAACUUGCAUAUCUGCAAACAACUGUACGUGCCUUGAAGGGUUCGAACCCCCAAUAUGUGAAGACAAAAACGAAUGUAACACUGAAAAUGGCGGCUGUUCGCACAAUUGUACAAACAGGCAUGGGGCGUUUGAAUGCAGCUGUAAUGAUGGCUACGUGAUAAAUAAUGACAACAAAACAUGCUCAUCACCUAAAGACAAUUCGAAGAAGUACAGUAUGGCGACUAAUGUGGGUGGCUUGGUUGGUAUUAGUAUCGGUGUACUUAUUAUAAUUGCUUCCAUCAUACUACUGGCAGUAAGGUAAAUGAUUUUUAAUAAUAGUUUAAGUUUGAAAGUUCGUUCAGAAAUACAUCAUAGUCAUAAUGUCCAUGAUUAUACAUUGGUGAAAAGAAAUAUAUUUAUAUAUAUCAGCAGUCAAUAGAUCAAUUAAAUAUAAUUAAUAUACAUAUAAAGAUAAUAUAACUUUGCAUAAAUCACACAAUUAAUUUAGUUUUAUAAAUAGAGAUUAAUAUAAUACAAAACAUGUCGAUAUAUCAAGUAUGUGAUAGUGAAAGAUCAGUGUGUAUGAACGUUUUAUAUACUUUAGUCAUAAAAGCAAUGAAACGUAUUUCUUAAACUAAACGAAUAAUUAACAUACAAGGUAAAUGUUUCUACUCACUUUAACAUUUGCGGAUUGUAUUAAUUCAGCACUUUGGUAUAUUUGGUCUUUUGCAGUAAUAUUUAUCUAUAUAUGUGUUUCUUAUGUCACUUUAUAAAGGGCUUUUAAGAACAAAAUGAAAUCCAUCUCCUAAUACAUAGCACAUGAUACAUGUUCUUUAUGGUUAGUUAAAAGUUCAGGUCUAUGCAAUUUUCCUGCUUCAAUUUCUAAUAUAUGAGAUGAUACUCUUACACAUAAGUCUUUUCUUAAUUUAACUAUCUUAACAUUUGUCAAGUACGGUUGUAACAUAACAUUGCGGUUUAUUGUGAAAGUUCCUGCUCGCGAUGAAUUGUUUAGCUCUAUCAUCCAGUAUUAGAUAAAUGGAUCAUUUGUUCGUGUCUUUCAUAAAUAUAUAAUUAUGAUUUCAUCACUGAAACCUUGAUUUAACCGAGCAUAAUAGAAGCCAAGAUAUUGUAGCUAGGAACACACAGAUUUCGUCUAUGACUUACAAUUUAGUAUUGCUUCUAAGUCUACUUAACAAAGAGGUUCUUCCAAGUUCUCCAUAGAUGAAAUAAAUUUCACUUUGAAUUCUAACUCCUAAGAAUUAAACAAAAUUAAAAUAGAUGCACUCUCUAAAACAAGGAAUUAUUAAGCCCCAAAUUUCUGAUCCAUUGUUUAAGAUUGGGAGAAUAAAUUUAUCAAACAUUUGAAUUAUAUUUUAUGGACAAUGAGGGAAAUUUAACUAAACGUGAUUUUAAUGUAAUGUAGCCUUUGAUGUUUGUCCUGCUAGUGUAUCAACAGUUGUUGCAAAAGGGCCACUAGUUGUAAAAACAAUACCUAUGUAUGUAAAUUUUCGAUCUAUUUCUAAACAGUCUCUCUUACAUAAGAAAUUAAUAUUGUUCCUUAAACGUCCACCUUGUUUAGAAAUCAUUACUGUUGUCUUCGUAGAGUUUGCACCUAAUUUCCUUUAUAUUCUAUUACAAUACUCCUUUAGUAACUCUUAACUUUUCUAAUCUCUUUUUUCAGAUUCAGCCAUGAUUACUAUAUCAUCAGUAUAUAACAACAGAAACAGUUAAAACAUACCCAUAUAUAUACUAUUGGAACCAUACAGCAUUUAAUUUUCUUCUAUAUCAUUAAAAUACAAAGAAAAAACCGGAGAUAAAUUCCUCGCACCUAAGCAGCGUGUAAAAUAUUAAUGUAUGAUUGUAAUCUUAAUUUUUAUUCUUGAUUUAAAGGGACUGAACACCAGAUAAUACAUUUGCAAGAAAAAAGAAUAUAGUCAAAAACUAAUAUAAAAUGUACAUUCAAUCAUACUGAUGUAUUACAUCGCAAACGACACACGUAUAUUUCGCAGUUUUUGCAUAUUUUUACGAAUCGAAAUUUACUGGGUUUGUAAAUACCAGUACAAUUCGAUUUUUAUCCGUAUAUGUAUCAGUAUCAAUCACCUGUUUUUCACAUGCUAAAUGUACACACUAUAAACUUGGAAACCGUUAUACACGAUUUUUAAACGGGUAUACUCAGCUGAGACAGCGACAACAUAUUCUGUUAAUUAUCUAAAGUGAUGUAACAUCGGCCUGAUACUAGCUCGUAUCGACGAUAUUUAUGUGAAAAACUACAGAAACAAGCUCAGUAGCCAACAUUUUAAACAUUAACCCCGUUCAAUGGCACAGGGUAAACGCCAAAUACAUAUACCACAAAAACAAAAUAUCACAGACACGAAACAUGGAACAACGGCUUAGAAUUCCACAUACAAAACAGUGCAUAUAUACUAUAUAAACAAUAGGUAUGUUUAUCAAGGAUUGUUAAUUACCGCCUUGGAAUGGCCAGUAAAAUGUAAAUUUACUGGGGGUUUAAACCAGUUUACGUGCACAAACCUCUCUCUUAUCCCAACAAUCCUAAAUAAAGUAAAAACGUAUAAGGUAUCUUAUCAAAGUAUGCAUUAACUUGAGGAAACUUAAUAAUAAAACAAAUAAUAAUAAACUAAACCCCAAGUACUUCAAUGAUUAGGAAUCCCAAAUCUAUCCGUAGACGGAGGAAUACAACUCAGAGUACCUUAUGCAAAAAACUUUUCAAAGAUACGAUGCAGUUAUUGUUUGAAACUAUGAGCAUCACACACAGUCUGCCUUAGAAAAAAAGGUUUAAGAGUGUGUGAUCAAAGAGUUUCAAAAUAAAAAGCAUUAGUAAAUGCAACCCCUUCUCUUUUACAGCAGCUUUUACAAUAUUAGGAUUCAGUCUCUGUCAAUUCUAAUUUACAUGUAUGGAAACAAAUUUCAGAUGUUAUCCGGUAUUUAGCACCUUUAUUUAGCAGUUUUCUAAGGAGAUUGUUUUUAAUAAAAUUAAAAUCUCCUGUAACAAUAUGUCCAACAGGAACGUAGCGAUACAUUGAGUCAAUACAAUCUCAAGAAGAAGGUGUAUUUGCAGAAAUGUACUCUUCUGCUACUACUUUUUUAUAGUUAAAUAUGAAAUUUCGAAUAGGUUUUUUAUAUUUAUAACAUAUUAUUGGCACUUCUUUGUUCUUAAAGUAUUGUGGAAUACAAUUUUCUACAUUUUCAUUCUUGAAUAAACCAUUUAAAUUGAGAAGAUCUAUACCCUUUUUACUAAAAGACAGUUUGCUACGACACUCUAGGCUUGUUACUGUAUUUGACAAUUUUUGGACCAUCUGGUGUCAAGUCCCUUUAACAUUUUCGUACAUGAAGUUUAUAACCUAAAAUAAAUUAACCAUAUGAUAUCUCUUACUAAAAAAUCGAAUGCCUUUGUAAACUCCACAACAAACUGCAUCUCUUAUUAUUCUCCAAUUAAUAAUUUAUAAUGUCAUGAAGUACAAACAUAUUGUCAACAUUAUCCCAUAUUCUUCCUAAAACCUGCCUGAGCCUAUAUAUACACAGGCUACUUUUCAACCAAACCAUUUAAUCUAUUAUUUAUCACUUUAGUAACUGUUUUAUCAAAAGUGCUAAAUAAUGUAAUUUCCCUAUAAUUAUUAGAAUUAUCUUUAUAUAGCCUUUUGACUAUGCCUCUGGAAAUUACCACUAUGGAAAAGAUAAUUAAACAAAAUGAAUAAAAACAUUCAAAAAGCUAUCACUUUUUAUACCAUACUUAAAUUAAUCAUUUAACAGAUAUUCAGGCCCGUAAUUUAAUUGCUUACAUGCUUCUACAACUUCAUCAUUAGUAAAUGAUUCAUUCUAUUUUUAAACAUAAUAUCCAAUUCUCCAAGUACAUAUAUAUCAUGUAAAUAUAUAAUAUCUUCAUCAGGUUGUGAGGCUUGGUCGUUAAUAACCCUAAAAUAUUUAUAAGAAAAUCUUUAUUUGUCAAAUUUAGUUUUCACAUUUGACAACAGAACCUUUUAACUAUUUGCAACACAUUCUGGCAUUAGAUAAUCUAGCAUUUCCUGGCGUUUGUAUUUGCUGUCUAUUACACAUAUAUAUCUUGUUAUCUAACAGUAUUCUUUUAUACAAACUUCUAGAUUGCUUUACAGAUUUAAAUAUUAUUAGUUCCCAGUAAAAAUAGUGGUACAUCCUUUGUACAUUAAGGUGCUAUUCCAAGUAUAAGAGUAAUGGAAAGCCAACUGCAAAGGUAUGAUAUUAACUUGAUAUGUAAUAUGAGAUGAAAGUAUAUCCGUUUCGCAUGAUAUAUUGACAUCAUUAAAUACACGAUGAAGAAUCGAGCCGUAGAAUUCAGAAUUAUAAUUGAGCAGGUGCGUCCAAAUUCGAGAAGGUAAAUGGUGUUACAUGUGUAUUUAAAAAAUAUUAUUGAGUUAUCUUAAAAAAAUAUUCUGUGAAUCGGUAUUUUUAUUGUUGUUUGGGAGUGUGUCAGUCGAAAACGUUCUCUGUCUGUCGCUCUUGAGAACUAGCGUACAGAAAAAGGGGAAAAGUGUACAGUGUGAGUCUCUCGUUCAGUGUGUGUCCCUCAUGCAGUAUCUAUACUGUGUGUACGUACAGUGUUUGUCCCUCAUGCAAUAUCUUUGCUCUGUGUAUAAUGUGUCUUCAUCGUUCAGCGUCUGUGUUGUUCAUACAAAGUGAAAAACUCGUUAUGUUGUUUGUACAGUGUGUGUCCCGCAUUCAGUGGUUGUGCUGUGUGUUCCGUGUGUGUCCCUCGUAGAGUUUCUGUUUUGAGUGUACAGUGCGUGUGUCCCUCGUUCAGUGUCCGUGUUGUGUGUACAGCGUGUCACUCGUACAGUCUGUGUUCCUCGCACAGUGUUCGUUUUGAGUGUACAAUGAAUAUGUCCCUCUUUCAGUGUAUGUGUUGUGCGUACAGAAUGAGUCAGUCAUUCAAUGUAUGUUUUGAGUGUACAUGGUGUCCCUUGUUUAGUGUCUGUGUUGUGUUUACUAUGUGUGUACCUAGCUCAGUUUAUGUUUUGAGUGAGCAAUUUGUGUCCCUCAUUCAAUGCAUGUAUAGUUUGUGUCCCGCGUUUAGUGUCCAUGUUGUUUGUACAGUUUGUGUCCCUCGUACAGUGUCUGUGUUGUGUAAAAGUGCCUGUGUUGUGUGAACAGUACAGUGUUGGUAGAGUAUGUACAUUGUGUAUCCCUCGUACAGUUUCUUUGCUGUGUGUACAGUGUGUGUCCCUCGUACCGUGUCAGUGUUGAUUGCACAUUAUUUGUGUUGAUUGUACAGUAUUUAUGUUGUGGGUACAGUGUGUGUCCCUCAUAGCAUGCCUAUGCUGUGUGUACAGUGUCUGUACUGUUUGUAAAAAUUUUGUAUGUACACUGUGUGUCCUUUGUUUAUUGACUGUCUUGUGUGUACAGUUUUGUCCCUCGUUCAAUGUCUUGUGUGUGCAUUGUGUGUCCCUCGUUUAGUGUGUGUGCAGCGGGUACAAUUUGUGUUCCUAAUUCAGUGUCUGUUUAUCCUUAGCAUUGCAUUUUUAAACAGGGUUUGUUUUUACAUUCUUGCUACCCAGUACAGGGCUAGCUCAGUAAGUUGCGUUGUAAACGAAUACCUGAAUAGAUACAUUAAAAAGCAUACACUGUUUGUAUAUUUUUGCAUGAUGCAAUUUUACCAUUCCAAGUAUGCUAUAAUGAGUAUGCAUUUUUAUUCUGUUCCAGCCACAGCUUGACACUAAAAAGAGUGAAAAAAUAUAACUGACUGUCAACUGAAACAUCUACCGAUUAUAUGAAAGUGUCCGGAUUAAAUGGUUAUACGUUUGUAUUAUACUUGUUUAUUCUGCGU